CUCUCUGUCUGGAUAGUGCGAACCUGUUCGGUCUCAUGCUUUGAUUCGUUUUCCUGGAUCAAAAAGUUCUUGUUUUCCCUGAUUUUUUCCCCACACUUGUCCCUCAAAGAAACCUAGAGCCGUUUAUGCAAACAUUAAAGAGUCAAAAAGUUUCUUGAUUUAAACAUAUACGUCAGACCUAACAUUGAAAUGACAAUUAUAGCUUUUACAUGCACGCAUUUGGAAUGAGAAAUAACAGGUGUUUUUGGCUAUUUUUGUGGGAGAAAUGGACUAGGUUAAAAGAUCCAGUGCAAAAAUCUUUCAUCUGGGACAGACACAUGGGUACACGAUCAUUGAUGGUGUUCCACGUUUUUCAGGUUCCUAAGGGUCAUGCCCACGAAUGGUUCUCGCAGCAGAGACGUGGCUCUAGGGUUUUUACACCAACAGAUGACCGACUCCCUUGAUGAUACUGAGUAGGAAGUCUAAAGGACACGCAGCCCGCAGAAAUAGUGGACACCCUUUUCUGCAGAAAGUGGUCCUGGCCAGGUAUGACACAGAAAAUGGGGAGCUAAUCAGAGGGAUACCCACGGAUUUAAUGCAACAAAAGGUGACUGCCCUCUAGAACAGGAUUAAGUGGAAAGAGUUCUCCUAAAAAGCAGCAGUUAGCUAAACCAAAAGGUAUCAGCACCGACUGCUAAUGGAGCCAAAUUAAUCAAACACUCCAAGCUUUAACAUCCUGUACAGGGGGCGCCAUGUCUGUGGUAGUAGGCACAAGAGUACACAACAAAAGUUGUCAAACAACAUAUAUUGAAAGCUUUGCAUCAUGUUUCUGGCACUGCCCCUGAGAUUACUAGAUAGCAUUUGGUAGUAUCCAAAAUGCAAACUGUGGGCAAGGUUUUUACAGAUUACAGAACAGAUGUACACUGUCGUUGAAUAUUUCCAAAACCAUGUUCUGCCUUUGAGUAUUGGUUGAAAACCCAGACAAUGUGAACAAACACAUAGAUUUCUUAAGUUUAUCAAUCAUCACCAUCACCUUUACU